UACGUAGGGUGCGAGCGUUAAUCGGAAUUACUGGGCGUAAAGCGUGCGCAGGCGGUUUGUUAAGUCUGAUGUGAAAUCCCCGGGCUCAACCUGGGAACUGCAUUUGUGACUGCAUGGCUAGAGUACGGCAGAGGGGGAUGGAAUUCCGCGUGUAGCAGUGAAAUGCGUAGAUAUGCGGAGGAACACCGAUGGCGAAGGCAAUCCCCUGGGCCUGUACUGACGCUCAUGCACGAAAGCGUGGGGAGCAAACAGG
rnacentral:rRNA from 1 species